rnacentral:rRNA from 1 species
UAACACUAACUGGAGGACCGAACCGACUAAUGUUGAAAAAUUAGCGGAUGACUUGUGGCUGGGGGUGAAAGGCCAAUCAAACCGGGAGAUAGCUGGUUCUCCCCGAAAGCUAUUUAGGUAGCGCCUCGUGAAUUCAUCUCCGGGGGUAGAGCACUGUUUCGGCAAGGGGGUCAUCCCGACUUACCAACCCGAUGCAAACUGCGAAUACCGGAGAAUGUUAUCACGGGAGACACACGGCGGGUGCUAACGUCCGUCGUGAAGAGGGAAACAACCCAGACCGCCAGCUAAGGUCCCAAAGUCAUGGUUAAGUGGGAAACGAUGUGGGAAGGCCCAGACAGCCAGGAUGUUGGCUUAGAAGCAGCCAUCAUUUAAAGAAAGCGUAAUAGCUCACUGGUCGAGUCGGCCUGCGCGGAAGAUGUAACGGGGCUAAACCAUGCACCGAAGCUGCGGCAGCGACGCUUAUGCGUUGUUGGGUAGGGGAGCGUUCUGUAAGCCUGUGAAGGUGGCCUGUGAGGGUUGCUGGAGGUAUCAGAAGUGCGAAUGCUGACAUAAGUAACGAUAAAGCGGGUGAAAAGCCCGCUCGCCGGAAGACCAAGGGUUCCUGUCCAACGUUAAUCGGGGCAGGGUGAGUCGACCCCUAAGGCGAGGCCGAAAGGCGUAGUCGAUGGGAAACAGGUUAAUAUUCCUGUACUUGGUGUUACUGCGAAGGGGGGACGGAGAAGGCUAUGUUGGCCGGGCGACGGUUGUCCCGGUUUAAGCGUGUAGGCUGGUUUUCCAGGCAAAUCCGGAAAAUCAAGGCUGAGGCGUGAUGACGAGGCACUACGGUGCUGAAGCGACAAAUGCCCUGCUUCCAGGAAAAGCCUCUAAGCAUCAGGUAACAUUAAAUCGUACCCCAAACCGACACAGGUGGUCAGGUAGAGAAUACCAAGGCGCUUGAGAGAACUCGGGUGAAGGAACUAGGCAAAAUGGUGCCGUAACUUCGGGAGAAGGCACGCUGAUAUGUAGGUGAAGCGACUUGCUCGUGGAGCUGAAAUCAGUCGAAGAUACCAGCUGGCUGCAACUGUUUAUUAAAAACACAGCACUGUGCAAACACGAAAGUGGACGUAUACGGUGUGACGCCUGCCCGGUGCCGGAAGGUUAAUUGAUGGGGUUAGCGGUAACGCGAAGCUCUUGAUCGAAGCCCCGGUAAACGGCGGCCGUAACUAUAACGGUCCUAAGGUAGCGAAAUUCCUUGUCGGGUAAGUUCCGACCUGCACGAAUGGCGUAAUGAUGGCCAGGCUGUCUCCACCCGAGACUCAGUGAAAUUGAACUCGCUGUGAAGAUGCAGUGUACCCGCGGCAAGACGGAAAGACCCCGUGAACCUUUACUAUAGCUUGACACUGAACAUUGAGCCUUGAUGUGUAGGAUAGGUGGGAGGCUUUGAAGUGUGGACGCCAGUCUGCAUGGAGCCGACCUUGAAAUACCACCCUUUAAUGUUUGAUGUUCUAACGUGGGCCCCUUACCGGGGUUGCGGACAGUGUCUGGUGGGUAGUUUGACUGGGGCGGUCUCCUCCUAAAGAGUAACGGAGGAGCACGAAGGUUGGCUAAUCCUGGUCGGACAUCAGGAGGUUAGUGCAAUGGCAUAAGCCAGCUUGACUGCGAGCGUGACGGCGCGAGCAGGUGCGAAAGCAGGUCAUAGUGAUCCGGUGGUUCUGAAUGGAAGGGCCAUCGCUCAACGGAUAAAAGGUACUCCGGGGAUAACAGGCUGAUACCGCCCAAGAGUUCAUAUCGACGGCGGUGUUUGGCACCUCGAUGUCGGCUCAUCACAUCCUGGGGCUGAAGUAGGUCCCAAGGGUAUGGCUGUUCGCCAUUUAAAGUGGUACGCGAGCUGGGUUUAGAACGUCGUGAGACAGUUCGGUCCCUAUCUGCCGUGGGCGCUGGAGAACUGAGGGGGGCUGCUCCUAGUACGAGAGGACCGGAGUGGACGCAUCACUGGUGUUCGGGUUGUCAUGCCAAUGGCACUGCCCGGUAGCUAAAUGCGGAAGAGAUAAGUGCUGAAAGCAUCUAAGCACGAAACUUGCCCCGAGAUGAGUUCUCCCUGACUCCUUGAGAGUCCUGAAGGAACGUUGAAGACGACGACGUUGAUAGG